UACGUAGGGUGCGAGCGUUAAUCGGAAUUACUGGGCGUAAAGCGUGCGCAGGCGGUUUUGUAAGCCAGAUGUGAAAUCCCCGGGCUUAACCUGGGAAUGGCAUUUGGGACUGCAAGGCUCGAGUGCGGCAGAGGAGACUGGAAUUCCUGGUGUAGCAGUGAAAUGCGUAGAUAUCAGGAGGAACACCGAUGGCGAAGGCAGGUCUCUGGGCUGAACACGUGACGCUCAUGCACGAAAGCG
rnacentral:rRNA from 1 species